UCGAAUCCUGCAAAGCAGACGACCGCGAACUUGUGUAAUUGCCGGGCGUCGGGGAACGGGGGAGACUAAAGCCUCCCCUAACUCCUCGGCGCUCCCCGCGCACCGCGCGGACAACAACUCAACCCCGGCGCGGAAAGCGCCAAGGAAAACUCAAAAGGAUUGCCCACCUCCCCGUGCGCGGGGUGUGUUGUGGCGUCUGUCGUAACCAAAACGACUCUCGGCAACGGAUAUCUCGGCUCUCGCAUCGAUGAAGAACGUAGCGAAAUGCGAUACUUGGUGUGAAUUGCAGAAUCCCGUGAACCAUCGAGUCUUUGAACGCAAGUUGCGCCCGAAGCCAUUAGGCCGAGGGCACGCCUGCCUGGGCGUCACGCAUCGCGUCGCCACCCCCCUUUUGCGGGGCGGCGGAUACUGGCCUCCCGUCCCAAGAAGGCGCGGCUGGCCUAAAUUCGAGUCCUCGACGGGGGACGUCACGACAAGUGGUGGUUGAAUGCCUCAACUCGAUUCCUGUCGUGUUCAUUGGCCUCGUCGUAUCUCGGGCUCCUUGACCCCCUUUGCAUGCCUCUUCAUUCAUCUACCCAAGAGCAUUGUUAGCCUGGGGAAGAUGCGGGUUUCCUGUGUUGCAUACCUUUCAAAAGGAAUUCAUAUGUUAUCAAUGCUUAACAUUCGCCUUGUGCUGUCCCAGUGUUAGGUGAAUCCCUAUGCGCUGUCUGUGUUCCCGGCGAGUCACAUUAUGUGUAUUUGCACGGGCCCAUGGAUUCCCGCAUGAGCUCUUGAAUACAGAAAACCAAGACGGUACGAGGUCGUUGACCUCUACGUGCCCGAAUUAAAGCGUUAAUCGCUACUACCAAACGACUGCUGUCGUUGUAUCGAGGUGGCAGACUCAUCGGGUCUUC
rnacentral:rRNA from 3 species